rnacentral:misc_RNA from 1 species
AAAAACAACAGCUUUUAACACUCACUGAUAAGCGUAAACACGAGAACAAAAUGCAAGACGAAUGAUUGGGAGAGAAGGGAAGAGAGGGGGAGGGAGUUUGCAGAUGCCUACCACUGAAUUGACGAGACAUUUACAUCACAACACCAAGAAAUACAAAGAAUUAGACUGGACCAACCAAAAUCUCUUUUCCGCUUUGACAGAUUUAGACUGAUUUAACGCGUAGUUUGUUGGCUACGUAGAGGAGGUGACUGAUAUUUGUGGAUGGAUAAUUUUGGAGUAGCUUCAAAUUAGAAGUGAAAUCCCCAGCAAGUAGACGCCUCCGAACAAUAAUUAACAUAGCACAGCAGACUCGAAGCAGCGUUUCCAGAGGUCCUUCAGGAUCACUUAGUAGUGUGUCCCAUAUAAGCAGGCUGUCCGGGAAGUUGAAUUCUUGUGUUAGCAGAAGUGUUAUCCAUCUGAAUGCGUAGAACUGUGGAUUCACUUUGGUUGUCAUUUCAAGAUGCCGCCAGAGCUCCUCAUCAUGUUCUUUCAGAAAUUGUGAUAACUUUGUAAUUGUAGAACGAAUUCCAACAACACUAUUGUCAAGUUGCUGACAAAAAUGAUCACGAAAUCCACUCAAUAGCUCCACGAAGCAGAAGAAAGUGUCUGCUUCUGCAGAUGCUGCAUUUUCCUCAUUGGGAUCGUUCCUGAAUACAUAGAAUAGUGGAGCCAAUACUUCAUUCAUCCCUUGCACGUAUCUUAUACCAGGAUUGAGUUUGGCAAAGAUAAUGAGUAUAUUCCUCAGAGAGUCCUGGUUAGAUUUUGCAAAUGGUGUGUCCCCAGAGAAAAAGUGCAGGUCUGGAUGUGUGCGCUUGACAUCUCGAUCUAUCUGUUCAAUUAUUUCCGUGUCCUGGAAGAACUGAUUCCAUAUGCUAUUCUUCCCAAGACUUAAAGGAUGCUCUCCUUGAGGUAUCUCUGAUCUUGGGAGUGCACCCUUGUCCUCUAUAACUGUUCCUUCAUCAUCAAGUAUUACCGACUUCUCCAACUUCCUCGUAAUCUCCGAAGGAUUCACCAAAAGCUCCUCUUUAAAAUGCUUG